rnacentral:rRNA from 1 species
UAGGUUAUCUCAAUUCAACAUCGAGGUGAUAAACUUUGUCUUUGAUACGGACUCUAAGACAAGAUUGUCCUGUUAUCCCUAAAGUAACUUUUAUUUUUUGAUCAUUAAAUAUUUUUUAGUGGUUUUAAUGGGUCAUUAUAACCUACUUUAUAACUGUUAAAUAAAUAAAUUAAACAGUAAGUUUUUUAUUACUGUAGUUUGUCUCUGUUUUUUUUUAGAGACCAUCGCCCCAAUGAAACUACCCUCCUCUUUAUUAAUUCAUUUUCUAAAGGAAUAAAAAAAGGUUAUAGUUAAGCUUUAUAGGGUCUUUUCGUCUUACAAUUUUAAAUAGCAUCUUAACUAUUAUUUUAAUUUUUUUAUUAUUUUAUAAGACAGUGAGAUUUUCGUUUAGCCAUUCAUACUAUCCACUAAUUAAGUGGCAAGUGAUUAUGCUACAUUCAUACAGUCAUAGUUACUGCAGCCAUUAAACUCGGUUUUUAUUUAACGUAAUAUUAUUUAAAUUAUUUAGAUUUAAGUCAUUGGGC